AUAUUUUGAAUUAAGUAUAUUCAUAAUAUGUUAUCAGACGAAUGUUGUUAAAGAUAUAGGUUGAUAUUUGUGAAGGGAAAGAGUCGCCUCUCUCCCAACAAACAUUGCACACAAGGUGGAUAUGGAUUUGUUUAAAAAGCGCCAUAAAACGCUCAUUGUGAAUGAUCCUUCCGCAGGUUCACCUACGGAAA
rnacentral:misc_RNA from 1 species